UACGAAGGGAGCUAGCGUUGUUCGGAAUAACUGGGCGUAAAGGGUGCGUAGGUGGGUGUGUGCGUUAGAUGUGAAAUCCCCGGGCUUAACCUGGGAACUGCAUUUAAUACGGCACAUCUAGAGUGCGAGAGGGGAAAGCGGAAUGGCGAGUGGAGCAGUGAAAUGCAUUGAGAUUCGCUAGAACACCAGAGGCGAAGGCGGCUUUCUGGCUCGCUACUGACACUAAGGCACGAAAGCGAGGGGAGCAAACAGG
rnacentral:rRNA from 1 species